rnacentral:rRNA from 1 species
UGGGGAAUUUUGGACAAUGGGCGCAAGCCUGAUCCAGCCAUGCCGCGUGCGGGAAGAAGGCCUUCGGGUUGUAAACCGCUUUUGUCAGGGAAGAAAUCUUCUGAGUUAAUACCUCGGGAGGAUGACGGUACCUGAAGAAUAAGCACCGGCUAACUACGUGCCAGCAGCCGCGGUAAUACGUAGGGUGCAAGCGUUAAUCGGAAUACUGGGCGUAAAGCGUGCGCAGGCGGUUUUGUAAGACAGAGGUGAAAUCCCCGGGCUCAACCUGGGAACUGCCUUUGUGACUGCAAGGCUUGAGUGCGGCAGAGGGGGGAUGGAAUUCCGCGUGUAGCAGUGAAAUGCGUAGAUAUGCGGAGGAACACCGAUGGCGAAGGCAAUCCCCUGGGCCUGCACUGACG